rnacentral:antisense_RNA from 1 species
CGUAACCAAAGAUUACUGCUGGGUUGAGCGUAGGAUUAGAAAUUACCCUAACAUCUCCACCACCAGGCGCCCAAGUAUCGUACAAUCCGCCGAAGAACAUGGCUUUGAGAACUAAGAGCAAUGCACCGCAACCUAAAAUAAUUAGGUGAAAGCCGAUGAUGCUGGUCAUUUUGUUCUUGUCUUUCCA